UGGGGAAUUUUGGACAAUGGGCGAAAGCCUGAUCCAGCAAUGCCGCGUGUGUGAAGAAGGCCUUCGGGUUGUAAAGCACUUUUGUCCGGAAAGAAAUCCUUGGCUCUAAUACAGUCGGGGGAUGACGGUACCGGAAGAAUAAGCACCGGCUAACUACGUGCCAGCAGCCGCGGUAAUACGUAGGGUGCAAGCGUUAAUCGGAAUUACUGGGCGUAAGCGUGCGCAGGCGGUUUGCUAAGACCGAUGUGAAAUCCCCGGGCUCAACCUGGGAACUGCAUUGGUGACUGGGCAGGCUAGAGUAUGGCAGAAGGGGGUAGAAUUCCGCGUGUAGCAGUGAAAUGCGUAGAGAUGUGGAGGAAUACCGAUGGCGAAGGCAGCCCCCCUGGGGCCAAUACUGACGCUCAUGCACGAAAGCGUGGGGGAGCAAAACAGGAUUAGAUACCCCUGGUAGUCCACGCCCUAAACGAUGUCAACUAGUUGUUGGGGAUUCAUUUCCUUAGUAACGUAGCUAACGCGUGAAGUUGACCGCCUGGGGAGUACGGUCGCAAGAUUAAAACUUAAAGGAAUUGACGGGGUCAUAGCUGUUUCC
rnacentral:rRNA from 1 species